rnacentral:tRNA from 1 species
AGGGGUGUAGCUCCAACUGGUCAGAGCAGCGGUCUCCAACACCGCAGGUUGUAGGUUCAAGUCCUGCCGCCCCUG